AAUGGAAAAACAUCGAAUCGAGACAAGUUCAAUUCAGCCAAAACAGGCAGGGAGGAAGACCAGUCAUCUCAAACCUCAAAGGACAGUGUUCAGAGUGGUAUGUUGAACUGGAUCUCCAACGGUUUCGUAAGCGCACUGCCCCAACCUGCAGGGAGUCCUCUUCUUACGAGAGCCAACCCUGAUGCUAAAGUACUGAUUUCAUGUCAGCUAAAGUAGUUUGAUAUUUAAUACCAUUUGGUAUUGCAUAUUAAUGUGCACUUAAACCAAAAUAACAUCAAUAUAUAAUUCUAUUUUUUAUUUUGCAGUCACUUCAGGAUGAAGGUUCUAUGGACAGGUAAGGCUAUGAAUAUUCAAUCACUGUGCAUGAAGUGUGUUUGACAGCAUGGAGGUGGUCAGUGAGCCCUCUCUGUCUGCCAGGGCUGGAGUCAUUGGCUGGAUCUCACAAGGAAUUGGAAAGGUGGUCCCGCAGCCCGAUGAGAAAUACAUACAGGACCAGACUCUAGAAUCUGAAGUCACAGAGGUUUAUGAGACAAAGGAACUUCCAGACCAGGAGCCUUUGGCACAUAUACCAGUAGUAGAGCUGGUGUCAGAAGACGAGUCGGAGGUGGAACCAGCUGCUCAGUUCCCUCCUAAUGUAAUGACCUGGAUAAAGAGCGGCUUCCAGAACGCUAUACCACAACAUGUGACCAGACCCCCAAAUUCCAGUUCUUCCACCCCGAGGUCAUCACAGUGCUCAAACAAAGUUUAUUCACCUCCUCCAGAGUCGAUAACCAGCGUGACGGAGAUCGAGUCAAAAACAUCCCCCAGUAUGGUAGGCUGGAUUGUUCAGGGUCUUGGUCUUUCAAUGCCACAAGCGGUGCUUAAAAACAAAGAAGGAUGUCUGGAGGACGGGAAGAUUGUGCAAAAUGGCAGUGCUCGGUCAGCUCCUGCAGACCUUGUUCUUCAGGAGAUUGACUCUGAAGAUGAGGCUCAAGAAGAAACAUGUGCAGCAACAAACUCACUGCCAAAUUCACAACCUCAGUCCCAACCACAAACACCUUGGUCACCGGAACAAUCUCUUCCACUGAGUGUCACCACACCUUCACAAGCACACAUAGAACUGGAGGACGCAGAGACCCAAACUGCACGAUGGACACCCUUGAUCGAGAACAUCAGGAGAGAGGCGGAGGACACCGCCAUAUUAAUUAUGGAGGAACGGUGGAUACAGGAGCGUCUGGUGAUGGCUCGAAUGGCAGAAGAGGUGGCACGGCAGACAGCAGAGAUGGCUGUCAGGGAGUUGGCACAGGCCCGGUUUGGUAUUCAAACCAUUGCAGAAGAGCCAGAAGAUGUUGAUCAAGAGUAAUUCAUGCACACCAACAAAAAAAAUCAAUCAAACUAACCCCUCUUUGUGUGUAUGAUAAAUGUAUAUCCUUGUCAUACAGACAGAAAUAUGUUCAAACCCGUUUUUGCUUCUGAAUAUUUUGUGGAAAU
rnacentral:lncRNA from 1 species